rnacentral:rRNA from 1 species
AUUGACCGCUGGCGGCAGGCCUACCACCUGCAAUUCUAACGAGUGGCGGACGGGUGCGUAAUGUCUGGGAAACUGCCUGAUGGAGGGGGAUACCUACUGGAAACGGUACCUAAUACCGCAUACCAUCGGAUGUGCCCAGAUGGGAUUAGCUAGUAGGUGGGGUAAAGGCUCACCUAGGCGACGAUCCCUAGCUGGUCUGAUAGGAUGACCAGCCACACUUGAACUGUGACACGGUCCCGACUCCUACGGUGGGCAGCAUGGGGGAAUAUUGCACAAUGGGCUCAAGCCUGAUGCAGCCAUGCUGCGGGUAUGAAGAAGGCCUUCGGGUUGUAAAGUACUUUCAGCGGGGAGGCGUGACCCGCAGAAGAAGCACCGGCUAACUCCGUGCCAGCCGCCGCGGGAAUA